rnacentral:rRNA from 1 species
UUCUUGGGGUUGUAGGACACUCUAUACGGAGUUACAAAAGAAAGUUAUAAAUGAAGCGGUCUGGAAAGGCCCGCCAAAGACGGUAACAGCCCGGUAGUUGAAAUAGCUUUCCCUCCAGAGUGGAUCCUGAGUACGGCGGAACACGUGAAAUUCCGUCGGAAUCCGGGAGGACCAUCUCCCAAGGCUAAAUACUCCCUAGUGACCGAUAGUGAACCAGUACCGUGAGGGAAAGGUGAAAAGCACCCCGGAAGGGGAGUGAAACAGUUCCUGAAACCGUGUGCCUACAAGUAGUUAGAGCCCGUUAAUGGGUGAUAGCGUGCCUUUUGUAGAAUGAACCGGCGAGUUACGAUUUGUUGCAAGGUUAAGCGGAAAAAGCGGAGCCGUAGCGAAAGCGAGUCUGAAUAGGGCGCAUAAGUAACAGGUCGUAGACCCGAAACCAGGUGAUCUACCCAUGUCCAGGAUGAAGGUAAGGUAAUACUUACUGGAGGUCCGAACCCACGCACGUUGAAAAGUGCGGGGAUGAGGUGUGGGUAGCGGAGAAAUUCCAAUCGAACUUGGAGAUAGCUGGUUCUCUCCGAAAUAGCUUUAGGGCUAGCCUCGAGGUAAAGAGUCAUGGAGGUAGAGCACUGUUUGGACUAGGGGCCCUUCUCGGGUUACCGAAUUCAGAUAAACUCCGAAUGCCAUGUACUUAUACUCGGGAGUCAGACUGCGAGUGAUAAGAUCCGUAGUCGAAAGGGAAACAGCCCAGACCACCAGUUAAGGUCCCCAAAUAUAUGUUAAGUGGAAAAGGAUGUGGGGUUGCUUAGACAACCAGGAUGUUGGCUUAGAAGCAGCCACCAUUGAAAGAGUGCGUAAUAGCUCACUGGUCGAGUGACCCCGCGCCGAAAAUGUACCGGGGCUAAACAUAUUACCGAAACUGUGGAUGAACCUCUUUAGAGGUUCGUGGUAGGAGAGCGUUCUAAGGGCGGUGAAGUCAGACCGGAAGGACUGGUGGAGCGCUUAGAAGUGAGAAUGCCGGUAUGAGUAGCGAAAGAAGGGUGAGAAUCCCUUCCACCGAAUAUCUAAGGUUUCCUGAGGAAGGCUCGUCCGCUCAGGGUUAGUCGGGACCUAAGCCGAGGCCGAUAGGCGUAGGCGAUGGACAACAGGUAGAGAUUCCUGUACCAGUGCUAAUUGUUUAACCGAUGGGGUGACACAGAAGGAUAGGGAAUCGCACGAAUGGAAAUGUGCGUCCAAGCAGUGAGUGUGAGAAGUAGGCAAAUCCGCUUCUCGCGAAGCAUGAGCUGUGAUGGGGAAGGAAAUUAAGUACGGAAGUUCCUGAUUUCACGCUGUCAAGAAAAGCCUCUAGGAAGAGUAGUACUGCCCGUACCGCAAACCGACACAGGUAGAUGAGGAGAGAAUCCUAAGGUGAGCGAGAGAACUCUCGUUAAGGAACUCGGCAAAAUGACCCCGUAACUUCGGGAGAAGGGGUGCUCUAUUAGGGUGCAAGCCCGAGAGAGCCGCAGUGAAUAGGCCCAGGCGACUGUUUAGCAAAAACACAGGUCUCUGCAAAACCGUAAGGUGACGUAUAGGGGCUGACGCCUGCCCGGUGCUGGAAGGUUAAGAGGAGUGCUUAGCUUCGGCGAAGGUACGAAUUGAAGCCCCAGUAAACGGCGGCCGUAACUAUAACGGUCCUAAGGUAGCGAAAUUCCUUGUCGGGUAAGUUCCGACCCGCACGAAAGGCGCAACGAUCUGGGCACUGUCUCAACGAGAGACUCGGUGAAAUUAUAGUACCUGUGAAGAUGCAGGUUACCCGCGACAGGACGGAAAGACCCCGUGGAGCUUUACUGCAACCUGAUAUGGAAUGUUUGUACCGCUUGUACAGGAUAGGUAGGAGCCGAAGAGACGUGUGCGCUAGCAUACGAGGAGGCAAUGGUGGGAUACUACCCUGGCUGUAUGACCAUUCUAACCCGCCACGCUUAGCGCGUGGGGAGACAGUGUCAGGUGGGCAGUUUGACUGGGGCGGUCGCC